rnacentral:rRNA from 1 species
UAGCCUGGUAGCGGGGGAUAACUAUUGGAAACGAUAGCUAAUACCGCAUAACAGUAGAUAUUGCAUGAUAUCUACUUGAAAGGUGCAAUUGCAUCACUACCAGAUGGACCUGCGUUGUAUUAGCUAGUUGGUGAGGUAACGGCUCACCAAGGCAACGAUACAUAGCCGACCUGAGAGGGUGAUCGGCCACACUGGGACUGAGACACGGCCCAG